rnacentral:rRNA from 1 species
GAUGAACGCUGGCGGCGUGCCUAAUACAUGCAAGUCGAGCGAACAGACGAGGAGCUCGCUCCUCUGACGUUAGCGGCGGACGGGUGAGUAACACGUGGAUAACCUACCUAUAAGACUGGGAUAACUUCGGGAAACCGGAGCUAAUACCGGAUAAUAUAUUGAACCGCAUGGUUCAAUAGUGAAAGACGGUUUUGCUGGCACUUAUAGAUGGAUCCGCGCCGCAUUAGCUAGUUGGUAAGGUAACGGCUUACCAAGGCAACGAUGCGUAGCCGACAUGAGAGGGUGAUCGGCCACACUGGAACUGAGACACGGUCCAGACUCCUACGGGAGGCAGCAGUAGGGAAUCUUCCGCAAUGGGCGAAAGCCUGACGGAGCAACGCCGCGUGAGUGAUGAAGGUCUUCGGAUCGUAAAACUCUGUUAUUAGGGAAGAACAAAUGUGUAAGUAACUAUGCACGUCUUGACGGUACCUAAUCAGAAAGCCACGGCUAACUACGUG